AUGGAGAUCGGUCCAAGAAUGGUGGCUAUUGUUGUUAUAGUCAUGAGCUUCGCCGUCUUCCUAGGCAUCGUUUCUGCUGAUCCUGACAUGCUCCAAGAUUUCUGUGUCGCCGAUCUCACUUCCAAAGUGAAAGUCAAUGGAUUUCCUUGCAAAGAAACUUUCAACGAAAUGGACUUCUUCCAGGAUGGGCUGGCCAAACCCGAACUCCCCAACAACACCUUAGGCUCUCUGGUGACAAGGGCCAAUGUCGAAAAAGGUCCCGGGCCUCAACACCCUCGGCUUGUCCUUGGCCCGUGGCGACUUUGCUCCUUACGGCCUCAUCGCACCCCACACCCACCCACGAGCCUCAGAGAUGGUGUUUGUGCUCUAUGGAGAGAUAUAUGCCGGAUUCAUAACCACUGCUAACAUCCUCGUUGCUAAGACCAUCAAGGCGGGCGAGAUCUUUGUGUUCCCUAGAGGUUUAGUCCACUUCCAAAUGAACGUCAAAAACACCUCAGCGGCCGCCAUUGCGGUAUUCAACAGCCAAUUGGCGGGAGCCCCAAAUGUCGCUUUGCGCACUUUGUUCGCGGGCCGAGCCCACGGUGCCGAACGAUGUGUUGGCCAAGGCAUUCCAGAUUGAUGCUAAGGAGGUCGAGAUGAUCAAGGCUAGGCUUGCCCCCAAGAGCUAG